CAUAUAUCCCAGACCCUAAUUUGGCAUUCGCAAUAUGAGUGUAAAGGAGAUGUAUCAAGAUGUAGAUACUUAAAUAUAGAAUAUAGUGUGUGUCAUUUAGGAGUAGGAGAACCUAAGUGCUUCAGUCCUGAGUAUCAACCCCGUACAAUUUGGUUGACUCUCAGAAAUGGAGAUCCUCAGGGGACCCUAAUUAAUAAGACGGUAUUAG